rnacentral:tRNA from 1 species
GUGGUGAAUGUAGCUCAGUUGGUUAGAGCGCCAGACUGUGGAUCUGGAGGCCGGGGGUUCGAGUCCCAUCUCGCACCCCA